ACGUCACCACAGCCCUUUCCGUCAUUUUUCUCCCUCCGCGCGCUAUCUUUUCGGUCCACGUGCGGAUGUCUUAGAUUUUACAAUCAAAGAGACCGCAAUAAGAGUUUGGACCAAAUGGCGGCAUCAUUCGAGCAGAUGAGAGCUAACGUGGGAAAGCUAUUACGAGGAAUUGAUAGAUACAACCCAGAGAACCUGGCAACAUUGGAACGCUACGUGGAAACACAAGUUAAAGAAAAUGCCUACGACCUAGAGGCCAAUUUGGCUAUUCUCAAAUUGUACCAGUUCAACCCGGCCUACUUCCAGGUCACAGUGACGUCGCAGAUUCUGCUCAAGGCCCUGACCAACUUACCACACACAGACUUUACUCUGUGCAAGUGCAUGAUUGACCAGACACACCAGCAGGAGGAGCGCCCCAUUAGGCAGAUCCUGUACCUGGGGAACCUCCUGGAGACCUGCCAUUUCCAAUCCUUCUGGUCCAGUCUGGAGGAGAACAGGGAAUUCAUUGAUGGCAUCACAGGCUUUGAGGACUCAGUGCGCAAGUUCAUCUGCCAUGUGGUUGGAAUCACAUACCAGAACAUUGAGCAUCGACUUCUGGCUGAGAUGCUGGGUGACCCCCUUGACACACAGGUAAAGGUGUGGAUGAGCAAGUAUGGGUGGACGGAGAACGAGGAAGGGCAGAUCUUCAUCUUUAACCAGGAGGAGAGUGUCAAGCCCAAGAACAUUGUUGAAAAGAUUGACUUUGAGAGUGUAUCCAGCAUCAUGGCCACAUCUCAGUGAUAUCCAGACACAUUGGCACAAACACCCCGACUGCACCAAAAUUCAACCAGACAGAAGAUAUCUGCCCUUCAGCACAGAUCAUAGUGGAUGGACGUGUGUCAGCGAGUUCUGAAUGACUGCUGGUUCCUGUCUGCGGUGGCGUCCCUCUCCAUGCAUCGCCCGCUGAGAGUUACAAUGGCAGCUUUUACUUCCAGGGCCCCCUUGAGCAGAGAAAUGAGUUUGGAAUCAUGUCCAGUCAUGCCUACUCUGUAACCGGGAUUGAACAAGUUGGGCGACUCUCUGUCUCCCCCCACUCCUCCAUUCCCUCAGGUGAAGACUAUGUCCUGUGUGUGUGUGUGUGCGUGCGUGCGUGUGCGUGCGUGCGUGCGUGUGCGUGCGUGCGUGCAUGCUUGGGGCGGGUUCCUCAAAGUGUUUGUCCAAAGGCCUGAGUGGAGUUGUCCGUGAGGAAGGGCAGAAGUGUCUGGACAGGGUUCAGAAGGAGGAUCGGGGCGUUUCGGCUGGUUCUGCCAGAACCCUCAGUUCCACUUGACCAAGUUGGAGGAGGACAAUGACCCCAGUGACCUUGAGCUGACCUGUUCCUUCCUGGUGGCCCUCAUGCAGAAGCACCAGAGACUUAGAGGAGUCCACCUGGGCAUCGGCCUGGAUACCCACACACCUGCACAUGAACGUAUGCACACGUACACAAACACACCCAACAGGAAAUACAACCAGAGUAGAUUUAAAUGAGCCACAGUAAAUGUGAGAGAGAAAAGAAGAGAGGAACAAGUGAGGGAAUAUUUGAGUGUGGCAGCAUAUUUCUCAGUGUGGAAAUGUGUGCACACCCUACGGUAUCUAACCCUCUCUUCCCAGGCAUGCUCAGAGUGUGCUUACCUGUCCUCUCUGGACCUGAGCUUGCUCCGCCCACUCAUCAGCACCUGGAGGUGGUGAUUCGUGGUCGCCUGGCACCCGGCCAUUAUGUCAUCAUCCCCUCCACCCCGGAGACCAAUCAACAGGGAGAGUUAAUUCUGUGGGCGUUGACAGAAAAGUGACUGGACCAGUCCAUGACUGGAGGUUGGAGGAAGAGUUACCUAUGAUAUAUGUUAAAGUAUCAGGGCACUCAGUCAAGAAAAGGCUCUCUAAAUUACACUGAGUUUACAAAACAUGAGGAACACCUACUCUUUCCAUGACAUAGACUGACCAGGUGAAUCCAGGUGAAAGCUAUGAUCCCUUACUAAUGUCUCUUGUUAAAUCCACUUCAAUCAGUGUAGAUGAAGUGGGAAGACAGUUUAAAGAAGGAUUGUUAAGUCUUGGGACAAUUGAGAAUGUGUGUCAUUCAGGGGGUGAAUGGGCAAGACAAAAUAUUGAAGUGCCACCGGUUUGUGUGUCAAAAACUGCUUCACUGUUGUGUUUUUCACACACAACAGUUUCCCGUGUGUAUCAAGAAUGGUCCACCUCCCAAAGGACAUCCAGCCAACAUGACAACUGUGAGAAGCAUUGAUGUCAACAUGGGCCAGCAUCCUUGUGGAACGCUUUCGACACCUUGUAGAGUCCAUGCCUCGACGAAAUAAAGCUGUUUUGAGGGCAAUAGGGGGGGUGUAACUCAAUAUUAGGAGAAGCACGGCACUGAUAGAAGCCCUACAGGUAGAAUUCAUGGCAUGCUAUUGAAGUCCAAAGUAUCCACAUUCUAUCACCCCCUGUUGAGUGUCUGUGAUGUGACUAAAUGGUCCUGUGUGUUUCACUGUGGAUCUCCCUGUCGGCUCUCCUGAAGCCACACGACAGCUCUUUGAAGAAGCACCGCAACAAGGUGAGAACACCACCUCCGUGUAGUAGGUUGCAUGUAAACUCUUCCAUUCUAGCCUGAGAUAUGCAUUUACUCUCCAAACUUUUUCCUAACCUCCCAGCGAAAGGGGAGUGUCGACCUUUGGAGCUUCUCAACCUGCUAACAACGGCCAUAAAAUGCGGAGGUAAGGGUUUGGCUCCAAACACGGACACCUAUCCUCGCUCAAAAAUGGGAGCCAAGACACACCUUUUGUGUACACACUUCCCCUUUUACAACAUUGCCUCGUCCACAUGCAUCUUGGAGAUUCUGGAGAGCUGUACGAAUCCCUCUGCUGAUUUAGUAGUCUUCCAUAAGCCAUAACCACUGUGGGAACAUUCAGGAAGAAUUUACGUCACUGCAGGAGGAGGUUUUAACUUUUCCUAACUGAUGUUUUGUCUGUGUGGAACAAAAUAAUCUGGUCCUGGAGCACUGCAAGGGCUUUGUGGUCCUCAUGCAUGUAUCCUUUCUCUUGGGGAAAGAAAUACAUGUAUGGCUGAACCAGUGUGCAUCAUGUCUCAGCAUGGCUAUAUGGUUAGUAGUUGAUAUAGAUCAAUAGCCAUGUUAAUAUAGGUUAAAUGUAUGCCAGAUUCUGGUGUAGCGGUCUAAGCGCAUAUGUGCCCCCUGGCGAUACGGGGUUCGAGCCACGGCGUGGCCGAUUGUUUGAAGGUCAUAGCUCCCCCCAAAAAAGGGCUAUGCAAUGUGUAACGUUACACACAUGCCAUGUAUGUACAUAGACAUACAAAGGUAGGGUAACUUGUCCACCAUGACCUCACUUGGUCUGCUGAUCUACCAAGACCUUCAUUUUGUCAUGCGUUUUUGAUGGAACAUUCCCUUGACUGCAGUGUCAACCCAGAGUCGGGGGUUAGCUCACUGUGCUCUAGGCACUGUGGGACAAGAUCAGGAAAUGUAAAUGGACGAUAAGGUCUAAACCAUACUAGACCGUCUGUCAGUGGAAGGUUUACAGUUUCAAUCAUUCUGUUCUUUCAAAAUGAUGAGAAGUUUGGACAAUAGUUUGAUUGGCUAAAGCAUGCUUUGUGUCUUGGAUGUCUAAUUUGGAUUGGCUAAAGGAAAUAUUAUAGUGACUUGUGACUUCUGAUUCAAUCAUGUGUCACUGAGCUAAUUCAAUCACACGACCUGUUGCGAUGCAUGUGAAGUGAUUGAAUUAUAUUUGUCUGAAAAGAUUAUGCUGGCCUUGAUCUUCCACUUAACAAAAGGAUAUAUUCAUGACAUUUGACAAUAACAAAUCCCAGUUGCUGGAGUACCCUGAAGUCUCACCUGCCUCGAAAGCUGCAGGUAGGACACACUUAUGAUAUCACAAGCUUCCAUUGGUGCCUUUUAGGGGGCACCAAAACACCAUUCUUCAUGUUCAGUCCCUAUUGGUCCAUAUGAACAGUAUGCCAACAGCAUCUACACUGCUGAAACAGCAGGGGAUGUGGUUGAACAUGAAUUGAUCUGUGUUCGUUUGGUCUGGUCUAGGCAUGGCGGUGGAUGACUUCGUCCUGCAGCUGAUUGGCCUGCGCAACACGGAGCCGGACAUGACAUUCAGUUACCCCGGUUUCCUUUACCUGCUGAUGGAACUGGACAACAUGAUCCUGGCUCCACAUGACGAUAUACAACUGACGAUGGCUCCACAUGACGAUGUACAGUACAACUGACCCGAUGUGCAACUGAUCCAAUCUCACUGGAUUUCAGCCCCUCCUCCGCCUGUUCAACUGGUUUUUGUUGCAAUAUUGUUUUAAAUAAAAAUUUACCGUAGAUUCA